CGCAGAAGGAAUGGAACAGUGGAAUCACUCAUGCACUGUCGUCUAGUACCUGCUCUUAGUGAUCUAUUAUCACACAGUCUCAGCCUACCAGUUUAUGAAUCUGGAGACACUGGAGGUGUUUGGGGUGGAGAGGACAGUGGACUCAGUGGAGGACAUCCCAGCCACUUGGCAGUAAGGGUUUGAUUAAUCUCGCCCGGACGCGCGUGUAGAUCCUUGCAUUUGAUUUCGAACCGGGCUGCAUCCCGGUCGUGAGCCAACAGCCCAGCUCUGACCGACGGCGAAGUCAGCUCAAAAUUCUUUGAUUGCUUUUGAUAAAAACAAUUUAUCAGCCUUCCCAAUGAAACAUAGUUUGAAAAGUCUAACAUAUAUUUACAGAAAAUAGAUUUAUGUUUCUGAAUGAUGCACCAUGCUGCUUUGUUGACAACAUGACUGAGCUGCGCAGAUUACUGUUCCAUUUGAGAAGGGCGCUCCUCCCUCACCGCGUUUUACCGUUCACGUCACUGACCAUAGCUGGGUGCACCGCAGCUCAGGUUAAUGGAACUCUCUCAGUGUUGGCACUGCUACUUCCUACCUGAUGGGGUGUUACAGGAGGAGUUGAAGGGGGAGCAUGCCUCGUACCUGCGGCAGCACCCAGAUUUCCGCACCAUGAUGGCCGACUUCUUGCAGUUCCUGUUACUACGAAAACCAAGCGACGUCAUCAUGUUCGCCUGUGAAGACUUCUCCCCUGGGGGGCCUCUUCAACACCUCUUCACCUUGAGGACACACUGUGGCUUCCUCUCAAAGGCCCUUUAGUGAGGACAAUCCUAUUCUGGUUAGCAGUUGUCACUAGUAUGUACAGUGGCCCUCGAGAUCUAGAGUAUUGUUUUUACAUUUUGUAAUACUGUUUUUACUGUCUACUGUUUAUGUUUGCAUGAGCUGUAUUCAAACAUUCCAAUCAACUCAUGCUCAUCUGACUCAAAAAGUAAGGCUAUUGUAUAACUUUGCUGCCCAGAUUGCCUAGGAAUGUAACAUCCUUUGAAUAAUACAAUUAUAUGUGUAUUAAUAGUCCAGACAAUCUUGCAAGGCAGACUAAAGACGUCCCCAUGCUUAAUAGCUGAAACAGUUCAGCAGAGUUUGUAAAUAUAUUAUGACUGCAUUUUGUGAUGUUUUUGUUAGUUUUGGACUUUAGUGAGUGUGUUUUUCGGCUGUUUGGAUACAACAACAAAAAAUCGUAGAAGCAAGCCAAAGUUCGGAGCCGAAGUCCAUGUCCCUUCGUCGGCGAUUGGUCAACAGUAGGGGUUCUUCAAUCAAAUAUUUGUUGUCAUUCAACGAGAGACGACUCGUUUUCAUGCACAGUUUUUCAUUGAAAAAUACUGUACCAAACAUCUUAGUUAGAUGUAGAAUUGCAGGACUAAGAUCUCUUCGGCAAAAAAGUCAGAAUUAAUGACAGAUUUCCUGAGUUAUCUUAGAUUAGUUCGGGCUAUUGUGAGACUGGCUACGACAUCUCAAAAUUGACAAACAGUACUAUUGUUGCUUUUAAGGGAGUGAGAGCACUCAUUCGACUAGCCGAGUUUGGCUAGGCGCCAACCAAACUGAAACAUACCGAAGAAGCCUUAAGACAGCAUUGACUUUCCAUACCAAACUCCUCCACCCCUAUAAAAUAGACUAAAUGGUAUUUGAGAGCUUUUAUUGGAAGGUAGAGGAAACAUCUCAAACCAGUUGAGUGCAAAUUAAAAGCAACAUUUCAUUCAUGUACAUGUAUCUACUGACGCACUUCAGUGCACUUAAAAGGCAGGAUUAACUCAGUGGGGACAGGUCAGGAUGUUGAGCGCACACCAGAUACAGCAACAUUACGAUCUUGCACUAUACAUUUUCUACAUGCUUUAGUUUCACAAUAAGGGAAUGUAUUAUCUAAAAAACAAACAUGAGGCACUGGGAAGGGGACUCGAGUCAGAAUCUACUGUAGCCUAUACCAAAGUCUAAUAAACUGUUGUCUUUUUAAUUCAGUUUUCAACCAAAAAAUGAAACAAAAUCAAAAACACCUUUGUGAUUUGCUGAAUUAAGAACACUACAGUUCCCAGAGUACACUUGAUGUUUCCAAGCUACAGCUGCGUCAAGUCGCGGUUGUGUGAUUGCGUUGUGUUAAACAGAAAAUAUCAUACAACUGUCUCCUGAGGUGCAAAUAUAAACCU